rnacentral:rRNA from 1 species
GAUGAACGCUGGCGGCGUGCCUAAUACAUGCAAGUCGAGCGAAUGGAUUAAGAGCUUGCUCUUAUGAAGUUAGCGGCGGACGGGUGAGUAACACGUGGGUAACCUGCCCAUAAGACUGGGACAACUCCGGGAAACCGGGGCUAAUACCGGAUAACAUUUUGAACCGCAUGGUUCGAAAUUGAAAGGCGGCUCCAGCUGUCACUUAUGGAUGGACCCGCGUCGCAUUAGCUAGUUGGUGAGGUAACGGCUCACCAAGGCAACGAUGCGUAGCCGACCUGAGAGGGUGAUCGGCCACACUGGGACUGAGACACGGCCCAGACUCCUACGGGAGGCAGUAGUAGGGAAUCUUCCGCAAUGGACGAAAGUCUGACGGAGCAACGCCGCGUGAGUGAUGAAGGCUUUCGGGUCGUAAAACUCUGUUGUUAGGGAAGAACAAGUGCUAGUUGAAUAAGCUGGCACCUUGACGGUACCUAACCAGAAAGCCACGGCUAACUACGUGCCAGCCGCCGCCGUAA